CAGUAGCCGCGGUAAAACCGAGGGUGCAAGCGUUAAUCGGAAUUACUGGGCGUAAAGCGCGCGUAGGUGGUUUGUUAAGUUGGAUGUGAAAGCCCCGGGCUCAACCUGGGAACUGCAUCCAAAACUGGCAAGCUAGAGUACGGUAGAGGGUGGUGGAAUUUCCUGUGUAGCGGUGAAAUGCGUAGAUAUAGGAAGGAACACCAGUGGCGAAGGCGACCACCUGGACUAAUACUGACACUGAGGUGCGAAAGCGUGGGGAGCAAACAGGAUUAGAUACCCGAGUAGUCCCUGUCUCUUAUAC
rnacentral:rRNA from 1 species